CCUAAAGGCGAAAUGAAAGUAAAGGUUGGGUCUAGCACCCGACUUAGGGAUGAUGAGUUAUUAAUUUAUCUCCGCAAUCCCAGGGCGUCUUAAUCUCUUCGAGAUGAGGCGCACCUAGAGCAUACAUGUUGGGACCCGAAAGAUGGUGAACUAUGCCUGGUCAGGACGAAGUCAGGGGAAACCCUGAUGGAGGUCCGUAGCGAUUCUGACGUGCAAAUCGAUCGUCGGAACUGGGUAUAGGGGCGAAAGACUAAUCGAACCAUCUAGUAGCUGGUUCCCUCCGAAGUUUCCCUCAGGAUAGCUGGCACUCAUAUCUGUUGAACGCAAAAAGUCUCAUCUGGUAAAGCGAAUGAUUAGAGGCCUUGGGGUCGAAACGACCUCAACCUAUUCUCAAACUUUAAAUGGGUGAGAUCUCUGGCUUUCUUGAAUGCAAACCCUUAUGAAGCCAGAGAUUGGAUUAGAGUGCCAAGUGG
rnacentral:rRNA from 1 species